CAAGUCGAGCGAAUGGAUUAAGAGCUUGCUCUUAUGAAGUUAGCGGCGGACGGGUGAGUAACACGUGGGUAACCUGCCCAUAAGACUGGGAUAACUCCGGGAAACCGGGGCUAAUACCGGAUAACAUUUUGAACCGCAUGGUUCGAAAUUGAAAGGCGGCUUCGGCUGUCACUUAUGGAUGGACCCGCGUCGCAUUAGCUAGUUGGUGAGGUAACGGCUCACCAAGGCAACGAUGCGUAGCCGACCUGAGAGGGUGAUCGGCCACACUGGGACUGAGACACGGCCCAGACUCCUACGGGAGGCAGCAGUAGGGAAUCUUCCGCAAUGGACGAAAGUCUGACGGAGCAACGCCGCGUGAGUGAUGAAGGCUUUCGGGUCGUAAAACUCUGUUGUUAGGGAA
rnacentral:rRNA from 1 species